rnacentral:rRNA from 1 species
GACCGAUAGUGAACCAGUACCGUGAGGGAAAGGCGAAAAGAACCCCGGCGAGGGGAGUGAAAAAGAACCUGAAACCGUGUACGUACAAGCAGUGGGAGCCCCACCACCAAAGCGUUUCGCUUUGUGUGGUGCACAAAGAAGCGUAACGACAGCACUGAAUGACGGUUAACGGAGCGCAAGCGACGUUCAACAUACAAAGUCAAGCAGUGGAGCGCUUUGGGGUGGGGUGACUGCGUACCUUUUGUAUAAUGGGUCAGCGACUUAUAUUCUGUAGCAAGGUUAACCGAAUAGGGGAGCCGGAGGGAAACCGAGUCUUAACCGGGCGUUAAGUUGCAGGGUAUAGACCCGAAACCCGGUGAUCUAGCCAUGGGCAGGUUGAAGGUUGGGUAACACUAACUGGAGGACCGAACCGACUAAUG